UACGAAGGGGGCGAGCGUUGUUCGGAAUCACUGGGCGUAAAGCGUGCGUAGGCGGUUGUGAAAGUUAGGAGUGAAAGCCCAGGGCUCAACCCUGGAAUUGCUCUUAAAACUACACGGCUCGAAUUCGGGAGAGGAUAGCGGAAUUGUCAGUGUAGCAGUGAAAUGCGUAGAUAUUGACGGGAACACCAGUGCGUAAGCGGCUAUCUGGACCGACAUUGACGCUGAGGCACGAAAGCGUGGGGAUCAAACAGG
rnacentral:rRNA from 1 species